rnacentral:rRNA from 1 species
GACGAACGCUGGCGGCGUGCCUAAUACAUGCAAGUAGAACGCACAGUUUAUACCGUAGCUUGCUACCCCAUAGACUGUGAGUUGCGAACGGGUGAGUAACGCGUAGGUAACCUGCCUGGUAGCGGGGGAUAACUAUUGGAAACGAUAGCUAAUACCGCAUAAUAUUGAUUAUUGCAUGAUAAUUGAUUGAAAGAUGCUAUUGCAUCACUACCAGAUGGACCUGCUUUGUAUUAGCUAGUAGGGGAGGUAACGGCUCACCUAGGCGACGAUACAUAGCCGACCUGAGAGGGUGAUCGGCCACACUGGGACUGAGACACGGCCCAGACUCCCACGGGAGGCAGCAGUAGGGAAACUUCGGCAAUGGACGAAAGGCUGACCGAGCAACGCCGCGUGAGGGAAGAAGGGUUUCGGAUCGUAAAGAUCUGUUGUAAGGGGAGAAAGGGUGUGAGAGUGGAAAGUUCACACUGUGACGGUAUCUAACCAGAAAGGGACGGCUAACUACGUG